GCCAUUAUAGCUCAUAGUGUUAGAGAGCACUGGUUCUGUAAAGUCCAGGGUCGUGAGUUCGAUCCUCAAUACCUGGUG